rnacentral:sRNA from 2 species
UACUAACACAGGCCGAGUCCGGAAAGAGCCCGGAUCGGGGGAACCAAGGGGUCGAGGUCGACCCAGGGGCGAAUCGCUUUGCGUAGCGCGAUCUCUUUCAGCGCGAGCCCGUCAGCUAACCCCGAAGGCACAGAAAGAGAGGCACA